ACGGAAGGCAGCAGUGAGGAAUAUUGGUCAAUGGGCGGAAGCCUGAACCAGCCAAGUCGCGUGAGGGAGGAAGGUCCUACGGAUUGUAAACCUCUUUAGCCGGGGAGCAAUAAGCGCUAUGUAUAGCGUGAUGAGAGUACCCGGAGAAUAAGGAUCGGCUAACUCCGUGCCAGCAGCCGCGGUAAUACGGAGGAUCCGAGCGUUAUCCGGAUUUAUUGGGUUUAAAGGGUGCGCAGGCGGUCGAUUAAGUCAGUGGUCAAAUCCCGGUGCUCAACGCCGUCCCGCCAUUGAUACUGGUUGACGUGAUUCCGGUCGAGGCAGGCGGAAUUCGUAGUGUAGCGGUGAAAUGCAUAGAUAUUACGAAGAACUCCGAUUGCGUAGGCAGCUUACCAGGCCGGCAAUGACGCUCAUGCACGAAAGUGCGGGGAUCGAACAGGAUUAGAUACCCUGGUA
rnacentral:rRNA from 1 species